rnacentral:rRNA from 1 species
AUUGAACGCUGGCGGCAGGCCUAACACAUGCAAGUCGAGCGAGCGGCGGACGGGUGAGGAAUGUCUGGGAAACUGCCUGAUGGCGGGGGAUAACUACUGGAAACGGUAGCUAAUACCGCAUACCAUCAGCAUUGUCCAGAUGGGAUUAGCUAGUAGGUGGGGGAACGGCUCACCAGGGCGACGAUCACUAGCUGGUCUGAGAGGAUGACCAGACAAACUGGAACUGAGACACGGUCCAGACUCCUACGGGAGGCAGCGGUGGGGAAUAUUGGACAAUGGGCGCAAGCCUGAUGCAGCCAUGCCGCGUGUGUGAAGAAGGCCUUCGGGUUGUAAAGCACUUUCAGCGGGGAGGCGUUACCCGCAGAAGAAGCACCGGCUAACUCCGUGCCAGCAGCCGCGGUAAUUC